rnacentral:lncRNA from 1 species
GUUCUCAGAGACACACUGAGACCUUUCACAUCUCACUGUCACUUCUUGGAAGGGCUCUCUACCUCGUCUGCCUGCUGAGCAACCUCUUGGGGAGACGCGGGCACUCUUGAGUCACUGAACUUGAGCUAUUUGGUGUUGAUGUUGGAAUUUCUGAUGAAUCUGCAGUCAGCAUUUUGCAUGAACUGUGUGUGGAUUUAUUGCCUGCAUUGGAUGAUGAAGACUUGAGUGUUGCUACUAAGCAGUGUGUCCCCGAGAAAGUGUCAGAGCCUUUACGUGGACCUUCUCAUGAAAAAGGAAACAGAAUAGUCAAUGGAAAAGGAGAAG